rnacentral:rRNA from 1 species
GGGAUGUCACGAGGUACAGCGUUGCCGGAAUACUGGGUGUAAGGGAGCGCAGGCGGGAGAACCAGUUGGAAGUGAAAUCCAUGGGCUCAACCCAUGAACUGCUUUAAAACUGUUUUUCUUGAGUAGUGCAGAGGUAGGCGGAAUUCCCGGUGUAGCGGUGGAAUGCGUAGAUAUCGGGAGGAACACCAGUGGCGAAGGCGGCCUACUGGGCACCAACUGACGCUGAGGCUCGAAAGUGUGGGUAGCAAACAGGAUUAGAUACCCUGGUAGUCCACACCGUAAACGAUGAUUACUAGGUGUUGGAGGAUUGACCCCUUCAGUGCCGCAGUUAACACAAUAAGUAAUCCACCUGGGGAGUACGACCGCAAGGUUGAAACUCAAAGGAAUUGACGGGGGCCCGCACAAGCAGUGGAGUAUGUGGUUUAAUUCGACGCAACGCGAAGAACCUUACCAAGUCUUGACAUCCUGCGACGCACAUAGAAAUAUGUGUUUCCUUCGGGACGCAGAGACAGGUGGUGCAUGGUUGUCGUCAGCUCGUGUCGUGAGAUGUUGGGUUAAGUCCCGCAACGAGCGCAACCCUUAUGGUCAGUUACUACGCAAGAGGACUCUGGCCAGACUGCCGUUGACAAAACGGAGGAAGGUGGGGAUGACGUCAAAUCAUCAUGCCCUUUAUGACUUGGGCUACACACGUACUACAAUGGCGUUAAACAAAGAGAAGCAAGACCGCGAGGUGGAGCAAAACUCAGAAACAACGUCCCAGUUCGGACUGCAGGCUGCAACUCGCCUGCACGAAGUCGGAAUUGCUAGUAAUCGUGGAUCAGCAUGCCACGGUGAAUACGUUCCCGGGCCUUGUACACACCGCCCGUCACACCAUGAGAGCCGGGGGGACCCGAAGUCGGUAGUCUAACCGUAAGGAGGACGCCGCCGAAGGUAAAACUGGUGAUUGGGGUGAAGUCCUAAAAAGGUAGCCGUAAGG